rnacentral:rRNA from 1 species
GGUAAUUUAGUCUUAUAUUCAUUAUUAAUGGAUCACACACCUACUCAUCGGUAUUUAAUGUAUAAGAAGAGUUUAUCUUAUCUCCCCGUCACCCCAACCAAACAAUUUUAAUUUAAACCUUAACUCUUCCUAAAUUUAUUCAUUACUUAUUAUUGUCAAACUCUAUAGGGUCUUCUCGUCCUCCAACCCCAUUUUAGCCUUUUAACUAAAAAGUUAAGUUUUAACUCAAUCCUUAUGAGACAGUCAACACCUCGUCCAACCAUUCAUACCAGCCUCUAAUUAAGAGACUAAUGAUUAUGCUACCUUUGCACGGUCAAAAUACCGCGGCCCUUCAAUUAUUCAGUGGGCAGGCUAGACCUCUUAUACUCCCAAGAAGCG